UACGUAGGGUCCGAGCGUUGUCCGGAAUUACUGGGCGUAAAGAGCUCGUAGGUGGUUUGUCGCGUUGUUCGUGAAAACUCACAGCUCAACUGUGGGCGUGCGGGCGAUACGGGCAGACUAGAGUACUGCAGGGGAGACUGGAAUUCCUGGUGUAGCGGUGGAAUGCGCAGAUAUCAGGAGGAACACCGGUGGCGAAGGCGGGUCUCUGGGCAGUAACUGAUGCUGAGGAGCGAAAGCGUGGGGAGCGAACAGG
rnacentral:rRNA from 1 species